UUGUAGGAACCAUAACAUUUAUAAUUGGAUUCACCGGCUGCGUUGGCGCAUUGCGUGAGAACACUUGUCUGUUGGCUUGCUAUGCAGUGUUCCUUGCGCUAUUGUUACUGGCUGAGAUGACAACGGGAAUACUGUUCUUUGUCUUUAAAGAUUGGAUUAAACAACAAGCUACAAGUGGGUUCCAAACAUUCAUCACGCAUUACAGAGAGGAUCCUGACCAACAGAACUUGAUAGAUUGGAUACAGGAGGA
rnacentral:lncRNA from 1 species